CACGUAGGCGGACUGGAAAGUUGGAGGUGAAAUCCCAGGGCUCAACCUGGGAACUGCCUUCAAAACUAUCAGUCUGGAGUUCGAGAGAGGUGAGUGGAAUUCCGAGUGUAGAGGUGAAAUUCGUAGAUAUUCGGAGGAACACCAGUGGCGAAGGCGGCUCACUGGCUCGAUACUGACGCUGAGGUGUGAAAGCGUGGGAGCAAACA
rnacentral:rRNA from 1 species